rnacentral:rRNA from 1 species
AACGAACGCUGGCGGCAUGCCUAACACAUGCAAGUCGAACGAGACCUUCGGGUCUAGUGGCGCACGGGUGCGUAACGCGUGGGAACCUGCCCUUAGGUUCGGAAUAACUCCCCGAAAGGGGUGCUAAUACCGGAUAAUGUCUUCGGACCAAAGAUUUAUCGCCUUUGGUUGGGCCCGCGUUGGAUUAGCUAGUUGGUAGGGUAAAAGCCUACCAAGGCGACGAUCCAUAGCUGGUCUGAGAGGAUGAUCAGCCACACUGGGACUGAGACACGGCCCAGACUCCUACGGGAGGCAGCAGUGGGGAAUAUUGGACAAUGGGCGAAAGCCUGAUCCAGCAAGGCCGCGUGAGUGAUGAAGGCCUUAGGGUUGUAAAGCUCUUUUACCCGGGAUGAUAAUGACAGUACCGGGAGAAUAAGCUCCGGCUAACUCCGUG